UGGGGAAUCUUGGACAAUGGGCGAGAGCCUGAUCCAGCCAUGCCGCGUGAGUGAUGAAGGCCCUAGGGUCGUAAAGCUCUUUCGCCAGGGAUGAUAAUGACAGUACCUGGUAAAGAAACCCCGGCUAACUCCGUGCCAGCAGCCGCGGUAAUACGGAGGGGGUUAGCGUUGUUCGGAAUUACUGGGCGUAAAGCGCGCGCAGGUGGCCCGUUAAGUCGGCUGUGAAAUCCCCUGGCCCAACCAGGGAAGUGCAGUCGAUACUGGCAGGCUCGAGUCCCGGAGAGGGUGGUAGAAUUCCCAGUGUAGAGGUGAAAUUCGUAGAUAUUGGGAGGAAUACCGGUGGCGAAGGCGACCGCCUGGACGGGUACUGACACUGAGGCGCGAAAGCGUGGGGAGCAAACAGGAUUAGAUACCCCCGUAGUCC
rnacentral:rRNA from 1 species